rnacentral:rRNA from 1 species
AGAGUUUGAUCCUGGCUCAGAUUGAACGCUGGCGGUAUGCUUUACACAUGCAAGUCGAACGGCAGCACGGGGCAACCUGGUGGCGAGUGGCGAACGGGUGAGUAACAUAUCGGAACAUAUCCGGAAGUGGGGGAUAACGUAGCGAAAGUUACGCUAAUACCGCAUAUGCCCUGAGGAGGAAAGGGGGGGAUCGCAAGACCUCUCGCUUUCGGAGUGGCCGAUAUCGGAUUAGCUAGAUGGUGAGGUAAAGGCUCACCAUGGCGACGAUCCGUAGCGGGUCUGAGAGGACGACCCGCCACACUGGAACUGAGACACGGUCCAGACUCCUACGGGAGGCAGCAGUGGGGAAUUUUGGACAAUGGGCGCAAGCCUGAUCCAGCCAUACCGCGUGAGUGAAGAAGGCCUUCGGGUUGUAAAGCUCUUUCAGCCGGAAAGAAAUCGCACUUUUUAAUACGGAGUGUGGAUGACGGUACCGGAAGAAGAAGCACCGGCUAACUACGUGCCAGCCGCCGCGGU